UCAAACGCAAUAAGGCACACGGUGGAUGCCUUGGCAUCGAGAGGCGAUGAAGGGCGCGGUAAGCUGCGAUAAGCCUGGGGGAGCUGCACACGAGCUGUGAUCUCAGGAUGCCCGAAUGGGGAAACCCGGCCGCGCGAGAGCGCGGUCACCCGCAAGGGAGCCAACGCUGGGAACUGAAACAUCUCAGUACCGGCAGGAAUAGAAAUCAACCGAGAUUCCCCUAGUAGCGGUGAGCGAACGGGGAAGAGGCCAAACCGAGGGAGCUUGCUCCUUCGGGGUUGUGGGACCACGACAUGGGAGUACGACGCGAGGGUGAAGCGGCCUGGAACGGCCCGCCAGAGACGGUGAUAGCCCGGUAACCGGUUGCGUACGACCCCUAGUGGUAUCCCGAGUAGCGCGGCGCACGUGGAAUGUUGCGCGAAUCUGGGGGGACCACCCUCCAAGCCUAAAUACUCCUCGAUGACCGAUAGUGCACGAGUACCGUGAGGGAAAGGUGAAAAGUACGCCAGGUGGCGAGUGAAACAGAUCCUGAAACCGUGUGCUGACAAGCUGUGGGAGGGUCCGCAAGGGCCUGACCGCGUGCCUUUUGCAUUAUGAUCCGGCGAGUUACUGCUCACGUGUCGGUUAAGGCCCUCAGGGCCGGAGCCAGAGCGAAAGCGAGUCUGAACAGGGCGACACAUGAUACGUGGGCGUAGACCCGAAGCCGUGGCGAUCUACCCUUGAGCAGGUUGAAGCCGCCGUAACAGGCGGUGGAGGACCGAACCGAUGUGGGUUGAAAACCGCUCGGAUGACUUGAGGGUAGGGGUGAAAGGCCAAUCAAGCUCGGAGAUAGCUGGUUCUCCCCGAAAUAUAUUUUGGUAUAGCCUCGGAAAAUGAGUUCCUGGGAGGUAGAGCUACUGGAUGGGUCCGGGCUCCGUAAGGAGUACCACCCCCAACCAAACUCCGAAUGCCCAAGGAAUGCUGUCCGGGAGGCAGUCGCGGUGCGCUAAUGUACCGCGGCGAGAGGGAAAGAACCCAGAACGACUGCUAAGGCCCCGGAGUGGUGGCUCAGUGUAGCAAAGGAUGUGAUUGUGCUGUGACAACUGGGAGGUUGGCUUAGAAGCAGCCAUUCCUUUAAAGAGUGCGUAAUAGCUCACCAGUCCAGCGCGAUUGCGCCGAUAAUGGUCGGGACUUAAGCCACCCGCCGAAGCAUCGUCUUUGCACGCAAGUGCAAGGGGUAGGGGAGCGUUCCCAUAGCGAUGAAGCCGCGGCGGAAGCCUUGCGGUGGAGCGGUGGGAAGUGAGGAUGCCGGAUUCAGUACGCGAGAAACCAUGUGAAAACCAUGGUCACCGCAAGCCUAAGGUUUCCUGAGCCAUGUCGAUCAGCUCAGGGUUAGUCGGUCCCUAAGGUGAGGCCAAGAGGCGUAGCUGAUGGGAAACGGGUCAAUAUUCCCGUACCAACUGUAGACCGUUAUGAGUUCGAGGAGGGACGCAGGAGCAGGGUGUCCGACGGCGGGUGGUUGUGCCGUUGCAAGGUGGUAGACGUUGCCCGGUAGGCAAAUCCGCCGGGUUAGUCGAGAACCGACGCCGAAGGGGGCUUUAUCGCCCCCGUCAAGGGAUGCUGACGCACGCUGCCAAGAAAAGCUCCGCGAACCAGGCAUACAGUUGACCGUACCGUAAUCCGACACAGGUAGGCGAGGCGAGCAGCCUAAGGUGCUCGAGUGAUUUACGGAAAAGGAACUCGGCAAAAUGACCCCGUAACUUCGGGAUAAGGGGUGCCGGUAUUACGUAACUAUGUACAAUGGAAGCGGAAACCGGCCGCAGAGAAUCGUCCCAAGCGACUGUUUAGCAAAAACACAGGAGCGUGCAAAGGCAUAGUCCAAGCCGACGUAUACGCUCUGACGCCUGCCCGGUGCCGGAAGGUUAAGGUGAGUUGUCAGCCGCAAGGCGAAGCGAUGAACCGAAGCCCCGGUAAACGGCGGCCGUAACUAUAACGGUCCUAAGGUAGCGAAAUUCCUUGUCGGGUAAGUUCCGACCUGCACGAAUGGCGUAACGACUUGGGAGCUGUCUCUUCCGUAAGCUCGGCGAAAUAGCAGCAUCGGUGAGGAUUCCGAUUACCCGCGACAGGACAAAAAGACCCCAUGCACCUUUACUACAACCUGUCAUUGAUUGUCGGUAUGCGCUGCGUAGCAUAGGUGGGAGCCGGCGAAGCCGCGGUUUUGGCCGCGGUGGAGGCAACAGUGAAAUACCACCCUUCGUUUACUAACAAUCUCACUCAGCCGGCAACACCGGCGAGGACCGUGGCAGGCGGGUAGUUUGACUGGGGCGGUCGACUCCCAAAGAGUAACGGAGGCGCGCGAUGGUGGGCUCAGGCUGGUCGGAAAUCAGCUGAUGAGUGCAAUGGCAUAAGCCCGCCUGACUGCGAGAGCGACAGCUCGAGCAGAGACGAAAGUCGGCCAUAGUGAUCCGGUGGUCCCGCGUGGAAGGGCCAUCGCUCAAC
rnacentral:rRNA from 1 species